GGUGGGUUGGGGGGGGGGAACACACUCAUAUUUUUCCAGCUCUCCGCUAUUUUUAACUGCUCUCCAAAGGCCCGUGGAGAUAUUUGGGAGCUGGCAGGGUGCUCCGGCCGUGUGAACGUGCCUGACCUCCUCCUCCUCCUUGCUAUAGCAUUGGGGAGGAGGGUGGGAGAAGCAGGCUCCCGGCCCCCAGCUCAGCCCCCACUUCCUGACCCCUCCAAAUCCCACUGCAACAGCACGGCCACCGUGGGAAACAGCCACAGUGUUCUGGAGGAGAGGGGAAUGGGGGCAUCUGUGGGAACAAGGAUGGGAACAGGGAUGGAAACUGGAAGGGGAAUGGGAUGGAAAUGGGAAGGGGGAAUGGGAAUAGGAAGGGGAACAGAGUGGGAAUGAGGGCACGAAUGGGAAAAGGGAGGGCAAUGGGAAUGGGGAUGGGGACACGAAUGGGAAUACGGAUGGGAAAGGGAAUGGGGGGUGGGAAGGGGAACGUGAUCAGGGAUGAAGACGUGGAAUGGAAGGAGAAUGGGGAUAGGAAAAAGAACGGGAUGCGGAUGGGAACAAGAGAAGGAAGGGAAAUGUAAAUACGGAUGGGAAUGGGAACUGGGAUAAGGAUGAGAAGGGAAAGGGCUCAGCUCCUGGCAUUGACUUUAUCACUUUUAUUUCCACUGUGAGGACGGAGCUGAGAUGCAGCCCACAUCCAGACCCAGGGUGGGGCGGAAGCCUCACCCCCCCCUGCCCCCCCCCAGCUCAUUCCUGGGGAAGGACGGGCAGGGCUGGCCUGAGCCCUCGUUAACCUCGCGCUCAAUGGCCAAGUGUAUCCCAUUAUAGCCAAGCCUAUCCCAUAAUAGCCAAACCCAACCCAUAACGGGCCCCAGGAAGGCCCCAAUGGUUCCCUAUAGUCCCACCCACGCAUCUUUGGAUCCCUAUAAGCACCUACCCCCCCUCCAACAAGCCCCUUUUGCUCCUGCAUCCCCCUCACCUCUACAGCUCUCAUACCCCAACCCAGACCCCUACAUGCUCUUUGUGCCCCUAUAGCUCCCCCAGACUCCCACAGCCAUCCUAUUAAAUCCCUAUUGCUCCCCCAGACUCCUAUAGGCUCCUCAUGCCCACAUGGCACUCUCAGACCCCUAUAGCCAUCCUAUAGCCCCUACAGCUUCCCUCAGACCACUAUAUCUUCCCUACUGCCUCUAUACCCUCCCCUAUAAGCUCCCUGAAGCCCUACAGGUCCCCCCAAAACCCUCUAUCUCUCCCCAUAGCCCCCCCCAUACCCAUCCAAUGGACCCUAUAGCUUCCCUCAGUACCCCUAUAGCUCCCAUAUAGGCUCCCUGGAUCCCCAUAACUUUCCCAAGACCCCUAUAGCCAUCCUAUAGCUUUACUCAGACCACUACAUCUCCCCUAUUUCCCCUACACCUUCCCCUAUAAGCUCCCUGAAGACCCACAGGUCCCCCCAAACCCACCCAUCUCUCCCUAUAGCCCCCCCCAUACCCAUCCUAUAGCUCCGAUAGCCCCCCUAUAGCCCCCCAUAGCCAUCCUAUAGCCCCCCAUAGCCAUCCUAUAGCCCC
ensembl:lncRNA